AGGAGGUGGAGCGCUUAUGAACGAAGUGAAUAAUUCUAAUGCGCUCCACCGAUCUGCCCCGCUCGCGAAGCAGAGAGGGGCGAUACAUUAU
rfam:Coprococcus eutactus CAG:665 genomic scaffold, scf69